rnacentral:misc_RNA from 1 species
AACUGAUACUACCUGCGGGAACCUGCGGAGGGAUCAUUACCGAGUUUACAACUCCCAAACCCCUGUGAACAUACCACUUGUUGCCUCGGCGGAUCAGCCCGCUCCCGGUAAAACGGGACGGCCCGCCAGAGGACCCCUAAACUCUGUUUCUAUAUGUAACUUCUGAGUAAAACCAUAAAUAAAUCAAAACUUUUAGCAACGGAUCUCU